AGUGAGCAAAUUGUUCAAUAUGUAAUUCUUUGUCAUAAAAUUGAGGCCAGUUUCACUUUCAUUUCUUGAUUUCGAAAUUUUAUAUGACGAAGUGUUAGUUUGUUAGCUAAGUGUAGACCAUUUUCUUCUUGGAGAGUAUGCAAUGCCACAACAAGUUGCUAUUUUAUUGAGUCAUUGUUUUCGUCAUAUAUUUGUUUUUGAGAUUCUAACAUAUUUUGCAUUAGUUUGAGGGAUCUUGGAGGGAUCUAAAAAUACUGCCACGUUUUGACUAUGGCAAGGGUGAGGGAAUGUUGUCUGCACACUGUCGUACUUUUCUAUGUUGUAACCCAAUAAUUUCGUGCAACUGAUAUUACAUUUGCAUCCGUCAAACACGAUGGACACCACAGUAACGGCUACAAAGUGACAUUUGCUAAUCUAAUGAAAUUGGCUUUCAUCUCUCAAUCAAAGAUUUGAAUUAGAAAAUAUGCAAUAGCCAAUAUCCACGACUGUUUUAAUGAAACCAACACGAACACAAAAACUUGGUUAGCCAAAAUAUCUGAGUCACUAGAACCGACUCCCAUGUCCACAAGACUUUCGUAUUUAUUGCCAGUCCAAAUUUUUUGCUGGCGUAUAGACAUUUCAUCAGCCACUAAGGACUACAAAAGAGGACCUGUAUACGCUUUAGCUUUAUCAAUUAGUCUUGAAAAAGCUUCUGUAAAACCUGGCUGAGCGUUAACAUAUUAGUACCACUUAAUAAGUGUAUUAGGGUGCGGCAGACGAUUAUUAAAAACAUUCCGUGCAUAUUUGUAGGUGGCAGGUGAAUAAAACUGCAAGGUAAACGCAAACUUCCGAAGUACUGGUGGAUAAUUGGUUUUUUUUUUUACGGAUAUCAUUUUAAAAUCAGCUUCAUUUGAUUUACCAUUUAAAUCAAAGCAUAAAGGCUCAUCUGCUAAUUCUUUUGAUUUUAAUUUUUGAAAUUAUCUGCUAUAAAUUAGUAGUUUUUUUCUUGAGUCUGUUAUUCUUUUUAUUUUUUUAUUUUGCACUAGAUGUGAUUUUAGCUGUAACUUUUGUUUACGUUUCCUUAUGGUCCUUUUGAAAAAUGACGUCUUCGGCUUGUUAAAAACGGAUAAUAAUUCAGACGGUAUUCGUGAAAUCAAUCUUUCAUCAUAGUCACAGGUGCCACGAAAAGUUCAGAAGAGACAGCUUGUGGUGGUAGAGGUACAGUGCGUGAUUCCUUCGAAAAUAAAUAUCCGACGUAAUUACUUAACUAUGUAGUAUAAAGUUUAUAAAAAUAUUCAUCGUCCUAAUAGAAAAACUAAGAUAUUUCUUGUGAUUGUUUUCAUUGAUAAAAAUAGUAAACAAGAAUGACAUAUAUGCCAUAUUUCUUUCCAAAAAAUGUAAAAAUACCCAAAAAACGUAAAUAAGGAUCAACUAUAUAACAUCGUUUUUUUGUGCUAGUAGAUAUCUCAUGUAUUAUCAAAUUACAUUAAACCCAUUAAGCAGUUUCGAACUGCUCAGGUUAACGACCCGCAUAUAUCCACACUUUAUAAUAGUAAUGUGAUAAUAUUCAAUGACUAAGUAAAACUACCAAUUCUUUGACAUCGGCGAAGUAAUACUGUCUAAGGGUAUAUACAUGGCUCAUAUCUGCGAUUAGCUUUGAUGAUUUUCGAGAUAAUGCUUUUUUUUAGUUACACUAGUACUGACUUGGGACUGCAAUAAACUUUCUACUUCUGUAAGGCAAUUGUCUCCAGAGAGAUUAUUUUCGUGCGACUGUUCCGGAUCCUCUUCUGGUGUAGUUUAAUCUAUAAUAAAAUACAGUAUUUACUAUCUUUUCAGUAAUAAUAUAAUAAUAAUAUAUCAUUUGUAACUUAAAAAUAAAACUGCAUAAAUUUGUAAUUUAAUACCUCUAUUUUUGGUACAGCAUUAUUUAUUCUCCGAAACCGUUUUUGUGUGUAAUACAUGGGAUCCGGUAAUGUGGUCUGAACAAACCACACUGGAUUUAUUAAGUUUAAAAUAAACGUUGCUUCUUCUUUUAUUACUGAUCGCCACUUUUCUCUUACAUAAUUUUGAGGAAGUCUGUAGAAAUGUAAAAACAAAUUCCAGUUUACAAUUUAAAAAAAUAAAAAAUUAGGUGACCACUUCAUUUGUUCUGAAAUAGCCUUAUUUCUAUCAUUGUCUUGCAUGUAAGCAAGAAGGCCCGCCUUUUUAAAAUAUAUAUUAAGUCAAUUAGAGGGCAAAGUGGAAAGUGAUUGCUCUAUUAAAAAAUUUGAAACAUGGAAGCAGCUUUCAGAAUUUUUGACCAACCAGUUUGGAGAGAAGAAACACUAUUCUGCUUUGCUCUCCGACCUACAGAGUUAUUAUCAAAACAACGACUCGGUGAAUUAAUUCCCACUACGAAUCGAGUCUUGUUUAUUAAAAUUAUUAACCGAAAUUAACAUUUCACUGAAAUAAGAGCGAACUCGUUGGUCGCGUCGCUGCUCUGCAAGACCUAGCGCCACACCAUUUUAUCAUGGGCUUUAAGUCCCAAAUUUCUACAAUUUUAAGAUGUCGCGACCCAAGUGAUCUAAACGAAGCCAUUAAUUUUGCCUACUUCGAAUAGAAAAUUUUAGAAGCUUUACAAAGAAACAUAACUUCGUUCCGGGGCCCUCCAAUAAAAACACUUAUUCACGUUCCAACUACCAACGACCAAACCAACCAAGAGAAUACUAUCAAUUUAGACCAGUUACCUUUAAUCACAACAUAAGCCGCCCUUCAGAACCAAUAACACCAACAUAGGCAGAAACAAUUCACCAUCUUGCAGAUACUGUAAAGCCAACGGCCACAUUCUUGAAAAUUGUCGCAAACUCGAAUUCAACAACAAAAGGUUUCAAAUAAACCAGAAUACGCGCACUUUUCAACCUCGACCAAACAAUGCCCCUAUAACCGUAUAAAUUUUACUGAACAUCUCAAUUUUACUCAACAAAAAAGACGAAAUUAUUUAAAAUUCCAAUUCCUACUUACUCUAACUCUAUCUUUAACCUCAAGGUUAAACCGAAACCUGUGUUCCCGAACCUAAUAACAAAUGUGUAAUCCGGAUUGUCUUGAGCUCUUGAUUCCACGUUGCGCUCAUUGCCGCUGCUCUCCUCAUCAAUAUCGUCAAGAAAGAAAACCUUCAAAUAUCUACAAUAUCAUCAAGAACAAAAACCUUCAAACAUCUUCAAUACCUUCAAGAAAGAAAACUUAAAAAAAUCUGCCACAUCAUAUACCGCUCGUGCCGGUCGGUAUUGAUCGGCUGGUGUCAACCUGACAAAAACUGGAAUAAUCGAUGACCACUGAUAAACCUGGUGUCAAAGUUCCUGCUGAAUUAAAGUACCUGGAAACUUCAAGCCGCUGAUUCGUCCCCACUGCACCAGUUCCUGCUGGCUCGUUUCUGCUAAGUCGGUACCUGCCGUUUGCGACAGUAAGACUAUCCAGUAUAGGCCUGCCAAACGCCUUGCUGCCGUCCUAUCAUCGUAUACUUAUAUACUUGCUAACGAUAACUCUAAUUCAGUAGAAUUAGUAACAAAGGGAAACAAAUAUAGAUGGUUAAUAGAUACAGGCGCCACACUGUCGGCAGUGAAAUUUGAAACGAUUAGAGACUGGAACAUUCCAAUACACGCAGAGCGCACAGCCAUAAAAGGAAUCGGUGGACAAUUACAGUGUGAAGUACACAAGUACAUUCCAUUGACUAUAUAUAUUACAGAAAUAAUACCAAGUUUUAUGUGUUGAAGAAUUUGCCUUGUUGUCAUGCUGGUUUAAUUGGGCAAGAUUUUUUAUUAAAGUAUAACUGUAUUUUAAAUUAUGAAAGAAAUACUAUUAGUUUAAAUAUAUUAUUAGAACAAUAAUUAACUUUAAAUUUACAUAUGGGAAACACGGGGUAUAAUAAUUAUAUUAAAAUUCCAGCACGAUGUGAAAAAAUAUUUCAGGCGAAUUGUUUUAUGACAGAAGAAUGUGUGGUUUUGCCAGAGGAAUUCUGUGAAGGUAUAUUUAUUGCUGGAAGUAUUUGUCAGCCACAGAAAGGGCAAAUCUAUAUUCAAGUUUUAGACACACGCAACGAGGAGGUUAAUAUUAGUUAUUUUGAACCGAGUAUCCAUAAACUAUCCGAUUACCAAAUACGUACUUUUAAUAAACAAGACAUAAACGGAUAAAGAGUUAGAAAAAUGUUUUAUUUUUUAAAAUUAGAUCAUCUUAACAAAGAAGAGAGUAUGUCUAUUCAAAACAUAUGUGCAAAAGGGGAAUGCCCACUCUCCAUAGUGUGCUAGGCCCAAGGUGGACAUCAAAUAUUACUAUAAAAAUGGACUGAUUCAAAUUCUUAAAUGUAUUAGAUAUCUAAAAAAUAUAUUGAAAUUGACGCCACUAUUAUAAAAAAUAUAAUAAAAAUAAAAACUCGUUUUGAGGUUAAUUUUCUAUAUAAAUACUUCAAGAACUUUUCUUUUUUUAAUGUUUAAGAUGUUCCUAAUGUAUUUUUAUCCAAUUGUAGUUAUUAGGGUAUGAAAAACACACAUACUUCUUUAAAUAUCUAUAUUUUCUUCAUCUUCAUACACAAUUAGUAAAUCAUCUAAAAAUAGCACAGGAGAGCAUAUACACGGUUUUAAAUCCCGGUCAGGUUAAAACCACAAUUCACACAAUGUUUUUCAGUCGUAGUAUGUAACGUUACUUAUAAAAGCAAAAUAAAUCGAAGAAAAAUCAAAACAUCCAUUUUGAACGCAAACACAAGCAGCAAGCGAAGUGUAACAAGAUUAAAAUCAGUGUUGUCAGUAUAUAGAAAAAUAAUUAUUCUCAUUUUUUUAAAUACCGAUAAUUGAUUUAUUUUUUUAAUAUUUUUUUUACGAGUACACAUUAUUUUUUAUUUUUUAUGUUUUUGUUUUAGUUGUACAUAUUUAAAUAACAAUACAAGCUAAGUUUUUUUUUUUAUUGCUUAGAUGGGUGGACGAUCUCACAGCUACCCACCCUGGUGUUAAAUGGUUACUGGGGCCCACAAAUAUCUACAACGUAAAUGCGCCACCCACCUUGAGAUAUAAGUUCUAAGGUCUCAAGUAUAGUACCAAGUUAAAGUCCAAUGGGUAUGUCUUUGAUGUUAUUUUAUGUGCUUAUAAUCGAUUAAAAUCGAUUGAUUAAUGAUAAUACUUAAAAUGAUUUAUUUAUAUGUUUUUUUUAUAUACUUAAAAUGUUUACUUAAUACGUAAAAGGUUUUGAGGCUGGCAAUAUUUUUCCCGCAAAAAUAAAAAUCUUGUUUUUUUCAAUAGAGUUACUUUUUUUAAACUACUUAUUGUAAACUGUAGUGGCGCUUAUUUGGAAGAAAGUAAAUGCAUAUUUAUUUAUGACAAAAUUAAUGCACUAAGUAUUUUUUCUCUAAUAUAUUGUCCGCUUUGGGCCUGAAAUGGGUAUUCCCCUUUUCUGACGUAAUUUUUCUGCCGGGUGCCGGGGCCAAUUAGGAACUUGUAAUAUUUAUGAACAAAAUAUACAGUUAAAACCUAAUAGUGAACCGUGUUAUACAAAACAGUACAAAUUACCAUUUUCUCAGCGAGAUGAGAUGGAAAAACAAGUCCAAAAAAUGUUAUCUGAUGAUAUCAUAGAACCGGUCUCAGGUCAAGUCUUAUUGGUUCUGUUACACACCAUUCUACAAAGCAGCUUUGCCCUAAUCAGCUCGUUCACGAGUUCACUGUGUUUUUCCACUAGAGUCAUAAUUUUUAGUUUUCUUGUUAAAUCAAAUCGUAUGGAAAACCAGUUAGAAUCUGGAAGCCGUCGCGAGCAUACAUUUAAAACAUACUAAAGUUUGAGAAGUCAACAAUAGUAUUGUAAAUUGUGAAGUCUAAUUAAAGACAGUUUAGUUGUGAAAAGUUUUUUUGUUUUUAUUAAAAAGAAGUUGAAGAAAAGCCGUGAAACAAAUUGGUGUCAGAAGUGGGAUACCAGAGAAGAAAUCUGACACAGACCGUCAAAGAUUCUGGUAUCUCAAAUCCGAGCCAUCAAACUUCAAGAACGACCGACAGUAAGCCUUGCCCUAAGGACAAGCCUGCGUCUAAACACAAUUCAAGAGGUCGAUGGUAAGCCCCUGCUGUCAAGCGUGAGCCCGCUCCAGCCGCAACGUGACGCACGGAGACGACAGUCCAGCUGAUUCUUCAAAUCUAACUAAGCCACCAUCAAUCAGCAUCCAGAACAUAACUACCAGCAUCCUGCUCCUAACGAGGCAACGCGUCUUCAUUCUAACAUUCACUAUAGUUGUAAGGACGAAAAGGAACUUCUAGGCAGAACCGCAGCCAUGGAGGAUCAUGCCCUUGCACAUUUUUAUUGGGAUUAAAUCCAUCAUUAUCUAAUAUAGUUCGUUGUAAAAAUCCAGUGACACCAUACAAUAUGCCAUUGAUGAGGAAAAAAUAUUCAAUCUAUACAAAAUUAACACAAAAUCCCAAAAACAAUGUUCGGUUGUAAUAAAGCGGGCCAUACUUCCUCAGAAUGUUUUAAAAAUAAAAAACCUUAUUCAAAAACCGUUUUCCAAAUUCAUCCCCAAAAUAAUUUUAAUAAAAACAAAAAAUUUAAUUCAAAUGAUUCUUACAUUAAAACGUGUAAUUAUUGUAAAAGAACCGGUCACACGAUUACGGAAUGUCGCAAGCGUCAAUUUAACGAGAAUCGCCGCGAAAACGCAAAUUCCGCGCAAAACGAUAACUCGCAUAUUAGGUCUCGUGUUGCACCUGCGCAACUGUGUGAACAAGAAAAUUUUUUGUUGCCGUGUCCUUCGAAAUCCAAUCAAAAUCAUAAAGACACGACUUAUAAUAAAAGAAUUGGGUUCUCCUAACUUCACGACUCAGCCAAAAGAAUUCAGUUCUAAACUUAGGCCAACCAGACGAGAUAAUAAACAUAAACAAGCGGACCGUUACUGAGUUACAUUGCGAUAGCGAGGGAUUAUUAUCUCUGUCCUUAUCACUCGUACGCGCAGUUAUGGCGUCAGUUGGUCGACAACAGCUGUCGUUGUGUGUUUCGUGGUACAGGAAAGCACUGAGUACCGCAGUUGUCAACAUUUGGUCCGCCAUUUUGUGAACAAAUUCAUUCCUGUUUGGAUUGCGUUCGAAGUGAUACAUAUUUUUUCGUUUCCGUAUUUAGUUGGUUUGUUGUUGUUAUUAUUCCGUUUUUGUUAGUUUAAUUUUUAAUUUUUGCUGUUAUUGUGAGUACUUAGUUGUUGAUUUUAAUUAUGGAAUCACAGCCUGGCGGCUUUAAAAUGAAUUCACCACGCAAAAAGCGUCAAAAGCGGACGUAUUUUACAUCGAAUGAAAAAGGAAUGGUCAUUAAUGUGCACAAAUACGUGAAGCAAACUUGGCCUACAGAUGAAUAUCCGUACAAAACACGUAUAAUGGAGAAAACAGCGAGCAUUUUGGGCAUUGGUGUCGCUUCCGUAUAUAGAAUAAUAAAAGAAUAUGCAACAACUGGGAAUGUACAAAGCCCAUCAACAACCAAAAAAGGCUCACAUUGUCUAGUACAGAUGACAGCGAUUAAAAUUCGAACUUUGUAAUAAUUUAUUUAAAUAAAAAUGUUUUUUACUCCUGAAACUUUGUUUACAUUUUUUAUCUCGUCUGGUUGGCCUUACUUUACUAAUUUAAACGAUAAAAUAACAAACAAAAUUUUUUACUCAAAUUAAAAAAAAAUCAAUACAAUUUUAACUUUAUUAAUUCUAAAUUCAUGACUCAAUCAAGACAACUGAGUACUACGAUAUCGAAUGAUAACAAAAAUCAGGGUCGUACUCAGAGUCCCAAUUUCAAAAAAUAAUUUACCUUAUUCUAACUUAGCUACAAAUCCUAAAUCUUAACUUAUGUACGAAAUUAACGAUUGCAGUAAAAAGGUGUCUUUACCUCAUAUUUACUUAAAUUCUAAACAUGCCCCUGAAAAACUAAGUUUCCUUAUAGACACAGGAUCCACAAUAAGUAUUAUAAAAGGAUCAAGUUUACUAGAAGUCCCGAAUCUCUCGAACGAAAUCGUGAAAUUAAAAGGGAUUAAUAGUUCAGAAAAUCCUGUUGAAACAUUAGGUACUUUUCAAAUGGAAUUUAAUCUAUAUAACGAAACUUUUAAAUAAUUACGAUAGACUUAUUGGUAGCGAUUUUUGCAAUUAUUUUAAAUCGAACAUCACUUAUUUUUCUAAAUCCCUAUCUGCGAUCGAAUCAUGUAAAAAGAGUGAGACAGAGAUAUUUCACUUAAUGAGAGAUAACAUUCAUAUAAUAAAGUCUACUAUAAAUAAUUUCAAUACGACUAUCUUUAAACUUAAUCAAAACGAGAUCAAAUUGAAUUCUCAAAUAAAUAAAAUGAACGAAAUAUUUUCUCAAAUUACAAAAACUGAUAAUCUAUUAUUGUAUAAUUCCAAAUUAAAUUAAUUUACUUAAUAUUAUCGAAAGUUCUCUACUAACUAUUUCAAAUUUUCUAGACACUACACUAAGUUCUUUAUUAUUUUCGAAGGUUAACAUCCUACACCCUAGCGUAAUUAGUCCCUUACAUCUUUAUAAUGAAUUAUUUACGCAUAGUAAUCAAACAAAUAAAGUCAUUAAGGACGAAAAUAAUGCGAUGAUAAUAAUAAAGGAUCUAGCUCACUAUAUGAAUAAAAUGCCUAAGUGGUCCGGACCCCGGUUAUGCGUUAUUAAAGUACAUCCUUCCCACAAGCGGACACGCUGGAAUUAGACGCAUGUUAAACAACAUACGUAGGAAAUACUUUUGGAAUAGAUUAGAAAAAGAUAUAUGUAAUUUCAUUAAGAAAUGUGACAAGUGUCAACGAUAUAAGUAUUUAAAAACAGUCAACGAACCUAUGGUUAUCACGGAUUGUGGUUCAUCAUCCUUUGAUAAAGUUUAUUUAGAUCUGGUGGGCCCAAUGGUUGGUGACAGUAAUUAUAAAUAUAUUUUAACGCUUCAAUGCGAUCUAACCAAAUACGUGGAGGCGUAUCCAAUAACAUCAAAAGAUGCACUCAGCGCAGCAACAGCAUUUGUAAAAAAAUUCGUACUUCGAUACGGAAUUCCGCGCGAAAUUGUUAACGAUAGGGGCAGAAUUUUUCAAUUCUCUAUUAGCAGAAAUAUGUAAUAUACUAAAAGUCAGUCAUUUAAAAUCUACAGCAUUUCAUCACCAAACAUUGGGUUCUAUUGAAAAUUCGCACAAACAUUUGGCAUUUUAUUUAAGAAUGCAGGUCAAUACUCAAACUAAGGAAUGGAGUUCAUGGUUACCCAAUUGGUGUUUUUCAUACAAUACUCGGGAACAAAAUUUACUCCUUACGAACUUGUAUUCGGAAAGUCAUGCAAUUUACCGAGUAACCUCACUAACUAACAUAUUGAUCCAGUGUAUAAUUUUGAUAGUUAUCCAAUAGAAUUAAAAUAUCGUAUACAAAAGUCACAACAAGAAGCGAAAUGUAAUUUAUAUGACAGUAAAGUACAAGGAAAGGCAGGUAUGACAGCUAUGUAAACCCGAUUACAUAUAAAUCCGGGGAUUUAAUUUUAGUAAAAAACGAAAAUUGUAACAAACUUGAUCCACUAUAUUUGGGUCAAUUUACAGUUGUUAAGGAUAUAUCGCCUAAUGUUAUCAUAUUAGUAGAUGGUAAGGAGAAAAUAGUUCAUAAAAAUAGAAGUAGACCAUAUUAUACAUAAUAAAAUAAUGUUUAGGAAAACACUUUGGUUACUGAUUGUAUCUGGUAACAUGAACCAGAGCAUAUACGAUAUUAUACAUAAUAAAAUAAUGUUUAGGAAAACACUUUGGUUACUGAUUGUAUCUGGUAAUAUGAACCAGAGCAUAUACGAUGAUUAGAGAUAAGAAAUGCAUCCGUACUAUUCUAUUUUUAGAAUAGAACAUUGUAUCGUUCGUAUAAUCUGUUUUAUCUAUUCAAUGUUUAUUCCAAAGUUAAAAAAAAGACCUCUUAAUAUAAAAAAGAACCUUUAAUGGUUUCUUUUUAUUUUUAUUUUAGUAGUGCAUGUGACGUAGUAAGUAAGCACUUAUAUAAACAUGUAUCGUUUAAUUAGGAGAGCAGUAAUAAAUCAUACUUAGAAGUUA